rnacentral:rRNA from 1 species
GGGGAAUAUUGCGCAAUGGGCGAAAGCCUGACGCAGCGACGCCGCGUGAGGGAUGACGGCCUUCGGGUUGUAAACCUCUUUCAGCUCCGACGAAGCGAGAGUGACGGUAGGAGCAGAAGAAGCACCGGCCAACUACGUGCCAGCAGCCGCGGUAAUACGUAGGGUGCGAGCGUUGUCCGGAAUUAUUGGGCGUAAAGAGCUCGUAGGUGGUCUGUCGCGUCGGCUGUGAAAACUCGGGGCUCAACCCCGAGCCUGCAGUCGAUACGGGCAGACUAGAGUUCGGCAGGGGAGACUGGAAUUCCUGGUGUAGCGGUGAAAUGCGCAGAUAUCAGGAGGAACACCGGUGGCGAAGGCGGGUCUCUGGGCCGAUACUGACACUGAGGAGCGAAAGCGUGGGGAGCGAAC